UGGGGAAUAUUGGACAAUGGGCGAAAGCCUGAUCCAGCCAUGCCGCGUGAGUGAUGAAGGCCCUAGGGUUGUAAAGCUCUUUCGCAGGUGAAGAUAAUGACGGUAACCUGAGAAGAAGCCCCGGCUAACUUCGUGCCAGCAGCCGCGGUAAUACGAAGGGGGCUAGCGUUGUUCGGAAUUACUGGGCGUAAAGAGCACGUAGGCGGACUAUUAAGUAAGGGGUGAAAUCCCGGGGCUCAACCCCGGAACUGCCUUUGAUACUGGUAGUCUCGAGUCCGGAAGAGGUGAGUGGAAUUCCGAGUGUAGAGGUGAAAUUCGUAGAUAUUCGGAGGAACACCAGUGGCGAAGGCGGCUCACUGGUCCGGUACUGACGCUGAGGUGCGAAAGCGUGGGGAGCAAACA
rnacentral:rRNA from 1 species